rnacentral:rRNA from 1 species
UACGGAGGGUGCGAGCGUUGUCCGGAAUCAUUGGGCGUAAAGAGCGUGUAGGCGGCCAGACAGGUCCGUUGUGAAAACUCGAGGCUCAACCUCGAGACGCCGAUGGAAACCGUCUGGCUAGAGUCCGGAAGAGGAGAGUGGAAUUCCUGGUGUAGCGGUGAAAUGCGCAGAUAUCAGGAAGAACACCCGUGGCUAAGGCGGCUCUCUAGUACGGUACUGACGCUGAGACGCGAAAGCGUGGGGAGCAAACAGG